CUACGGGUUGCUGCAGUUAGGAAUAUUUUGCAAUGCGCGAAAGCGUGACAAAUUGAGCCAGAGUGAUUUUCAAUACGAAAAUCUUUUAUGAAAUGUAAAAAGUUUUUUGAAUAAGGACUGGGUAAGACUAGUGCCAGCCGCCGCGGUAAUACUAGCGGUCCAAGUCGCAGCCAUUUUUAUUGGGUCUAAAACAUCCGUAGCUUGUUUGAUAAGUUUCUUGUGAAAUUUUGCAUCUUAAGUGUAGAGCGCGCAAGAAAUACUGUCAAGCUAGAGACUGGAAGACGUGAGAAGUAUGUUCAAAGUAGCGGUAAAAUGUGUUAAUCUUGAGCAGACUAACAAUAGCGAAGGCAUCUCACGAGGACAGUUCUGACAGUAAGGGAUGAAGGCUAGGGGCGCAAAACGGAUUAGAUACCCUGGUAGUC
rnacentral:rRNA from 1 species